rnacentral:rRNA from 1 species
GUGAGGAAUAUUGCGCAAUGGAGGCAACUCUGACGCAGCCAUGCCGCGUGCAGGAAGAAGGCGCUACGCGUUGUAAACUGCUUUUAACCGGGAAGAAACCCCAGGACGUGUCCUGGGUUGACGGUACCGGAGGAAUAAGCACCGGCUAACUUCGUGUCAGCAGCCGCGGUAAUACGAAGGGUGCAAGCGUUAUCCGGAUUCAUUGGGUUUAAAGGGUGCGUAGGCGGAGCGUUAAGUCAGUGGUGAAAUCCUGCAGCUUAACUGUAGACUUGCCAUUGAUACUGGCGCGCUUGAGUGCGCUUGAAGUGGGCGGAAUGUGCCGUGUAGCGGUGAAAUGCUUAGAUAUGGCACAGAACACCAAUUGCGAAGGCAGCUCACUAAGGCGAUACUGACGCUGAGGCACGAAAGCGUGGGGAUCGAACAGGAUUAGAAACCCGAGUAGUCC